rnacentral:rRNA from 1 species
AUCUGGGCGACGGUAUUCAGGGUGGCUGGACGGGCUUCGCGCUCGUUCGGCCGUCUGAUGUUGCCGCCGCCGUGUCGGACGUCGCGACCCGUUCGUCGUCGGUCCUUGCUCGGAGGAAGCGCGAUCGAGUUCGUGGCGCGGAGCGUUUCGGCGUGCCGCGACGCGAAGACGCGUCUCUCUGGCUGGCGACGGACGGUAGGCAACGGUGUCCGGCGCCGUGUCUCGCACUCGGCGUCGGUGCCGGUCUGCGACGAUUUCUUCGGGCCUCUUUCCGACCCGUCUUGAAACACGGACCAAGGAGUCUAGCAUGCGCGCGAGUCGCGGGGUUUCGAGCGUACCACGGUGCGCUCGUUACUCGCGAAACCCGUAUGUGGAAGGCGUAAUGAAAGUGAAUAGGGAAGAUGGCGUUCCGAGUCCACGUACCGUGAUCGAGUGUCGCGGCCGGACGUCCGCACUCCCGGGGCGUCUCAAUGGCUCGUCGCGGACGCGGACGGUCGUCUCUCGGGGCGGCCGUCGGUCUGCGUCGGACCGA